GGAGCGGCUCCGCAAGCCUUCCUAGGUGCAAGACCGAUGGCCGUGCCAGGAGGGCCAGCAGGCUUCCCACCAAGGUUGCCCGGUCUUCCGCUCGACGGUGGCGGUGGCUCGUCGUCAA
rnacentral:ribozyme from 1 species